rnacentral:rRNA from 1 species
AUGCAAGUCGAACGGAGCUGCUUUGAUGAAGUUUUCGGAUGGAUUUAAACAGCUUAGUGGCGGACGGGUGAGUAACGCGUGAGCAACCUUUCCCAGACAGGGGAAUAACACACCGAAAGGUGUACUAAUACCGCAUAAGACCACGGUUUCACAUGGAACUGAGGUAAAAGAUUUAUCGGUUUGGGGUGGGCUCGCGUCCGAUUAGGUAGUUGGCGGGGUAACGGCCCACCAAGCCUUCGAUGGAUAGGGGUUCUGAGAGGAAGGUCCCCACAUUGGAACUGAGACACGGUCCAAACUCC